rnacentral:rRNA from 1 species
GAGUUUGAUCAUGGCUCAGAUUGAACGCUGGCGGCAGGCCUAACACAUGCAAGUCGAACGGUAACAGAAAGCAGCUUGCUGCUUUGCUGACGAGUGGCGGACGGGUGAGUAAUGUCUGGGAAACUGCCUGAUGGAGGGGGAUAACUACUGGAAACGGUAGCUAAUACCGCAUAACGUCGCAAGACCAAAGAGGGGGACCUUCGGGCCUCUUGCCAUCGGAUGUGCCCAGAUGGGAUUAGCUUGUUGGUGGGGUAACGGCUCACCAAGGCGACGAUCCCUAGCUGGUCUGAGAGGAUGACCAGCCACACUGGAACUGAGACACGGUCCAGACUCCUACGGGAGGCAGCAGUGGGGAAUAUUGCACAAUGGGCGCAAGCCUGAUGCAGCCAUGCCGCGUGUAUGAAGAAGGCCUUCGGGUUGUAAAGUACUUUCAGCGGGGAGGAAGGGAGUAAAGUUAAUACCUUUGCUCAUUGACGUUACCCGCAGAAGAAGCACCGGCUAACUCCGUGCCAGCAGCCGCGGUAAUACGGAGGGUGCAAGCGUUAAUCGGAAUUACUGGGCGUAAAGCGCACGCAGGCGGUUUGUUAAGUCAGAUGUGAAAUCCCCGGGCUCAACCUGGGAACUGCAUCUGAUACUGGCAAGCUUGAGUCUCGUAGAGGGGGGUAGAAUUCCAGGUGUAGCGGUGAAAUGCGUAGAGAUCUGGAGGAAUACCGGUGGCGAAGGCGGCCCCCUGGACGAAGACUGACGCUCAGGUGCGAAAGCGUGGGGAGCAAACAGGAUUAGAUACCCUGGUAGUCCACGCCGUAAACGAUGUCGACUUGGAGGUUGUGCCCUUGAGGCGUGGCUUCCGGAGCUAACGCGUUAAGUCGACCGCCUGGGGAGUACGGCCGCAAGGUUAAAACUCAAAUGAAUUGACGGGGGCCCGCACAAGCGGUGGAGCAUGUGGUUUAAUUCGAUGCAACGCGAAGAACCUUACCUGGUCUUGACAUCCACAGAACUUUCCAGAGAUGGAUUGGUGCCUUCGGGAACUGUGAGACAGGUGCUGCAUGGCUGUCGUCAGCUCGUGUUGUGAAAUGUUGGGUUAAGUCCCGCAACGAGCGCAACCCUUAUCCUUUGUUGCCAGCGGUCCGGCCGGGAACUCAAAGGAGACUGCCAGUGAUAAACUGGAGGAAGGUGGGGAUGACGUCAAGUCAUCAUGGCCCUUACGACCAGGGCUACACACGUGCUACAAUGGCGCAUACAAAGAGAAGCGACCUCGCGAGAGCAAGCGGACCUCAUAAAGUGCGUCGUAGUCCGGAUUGGAGUCUGCAACUCGACUCCAUGAAGUCGGAAUCGCUAGUAAUCGUGGAUCAGAAUGCCACGGUGAAUACGUUCCCGGGCCUUGUACACACCGCCCGUCACACCAUGGGAGUGGGUUGCAAAAGAAGUAGGUAGCUUAACCUUCGGGAGGGCGCUUACCACUUUGUGAUUCAUGACUGGGGUGAAGUCGUAACAAGGUAACCGUAGGGGAACCUGCGGUUGGAUCACC